UACAGAGGGGGCAAGCGUUGUUCGGAAUUACUGGGCGUAAAGGGCGCGUAGGCGGCCUGCUAAGUCGAACGUGAAAUCCCUGGGCUCAACCCAGGAACUGCGUCCGAUACUGGUUGGCUUGAAUCCGGGAGAGGGACGUGGAAUUCCAGGUGUAGCGGUGAAAUGCGUAGAUAUCGGGAGGAACACCUGUGGCGAAGGCGGCCCCCUGGUUGGAUACUGACGCUGAUACGCGAAAGCGUGGGGGAGCAAACAGG
rnacentral:rRNA from 1 species